UGGGGAAUAUUGGACAAUGGGGGCAACCCUGAUCCAGCCAUGCCGCGUGAAUGAUGAAGGCCUUCGGGUUGUAAAGUUCUUUUGACGGGGACGAUGAUGACGGUACCCGUAGAAUAAGCUCCGGCUAACUUCGUGCCAGCAGCCGCGGUAAUACGAAGGGAGCUAGCGUUGUUCGGAAUUACUGGGCGUAAAGGGCGCGUAGGCGGUUUGACAAGUUGGAUGUGAAAGCCCAGGGCUCAACCCUGGAAUUGCAUUCAAGACUGUUUUACUUGAAUUCGGUAGAGGUUGGUGGAAUUCCCAGUGUAGAGGUGAAAUUCGUAGAGAUUGGGAAGAACACCCGUGGCGAAGGCGGCCAACUGGACCGACAUUGACGCUGAGGCGCGAAAGCGUGGGGAUCAAACAGGAUUAGAUACCCGGGUAGUCC
rnacentral:rRNA from 1 species